GAUGAAGAACGCAGCGAAAUGCGAUAAGUAGUGUGAAUUGCAGAAUUCAGUGAAUCAUCGAAUCUUUGAACGCACAUUGCGCCCGCCAGUAUUCUGGCGGGCAUGCCUGUUCGAGCGUCAUUACAACCCUCAGGCCCCCGGGCCUGGCGUUGGGGAUCGGCGGAGCCCCCCGUGGGCACACGCCGUCCCCCAAAUGCAGUGGCGGUCCCGCCGCAGCUUCCAUCGCGUAGUAGCUAACACCUCGCGACUGGAGAGCGGCGCGGCCACGCCGUAAAACACCCAACUCUUCUGAAGUUGACCUCGAAUCAGGUAGGAAUACCCGCUGAACUUAAGCAUAUCAAUAAGCGGAGGGA
rnacentral:misc_RNA from 1 species